UACCAGAUGGUGUAAUGGUCUGAGUGCUGGACUAGGACUCUAGGAGGCCAGGGUUCGAAUCCCUGCUUGGCUG